CGCCUUGCCAGCCCGCUACAGAAACUUAAAGGAAUUGACGGGGCCGCACAAGCGAGGAGCAUGUGGUUAAUUCGAUGAUACGCGAGGAACCUUACCUGGGCUCGAACGUAAGAUGACUGUAGGUGAAAGCUUACAUCUCUUCGGAGCAUUUUACGAGGUGCUGCAUGGUUGUCGUCAGCUCGUGCCGUGAGGUGUCGGGUUAAGUCCCAUAACGAGCGCAACCCCUACCUUUAGUUGCCAUCAGGUUAAGCUGGGGACUCUAAAGGAACUGCCUACGCAAGUAGUGAGGAAGGCGGGGAUGACGUCAAAUCAGCACGGCCCUUACGUCCAGGGCUACACACGUGCUACAAUGGCCGAUACAGAGGGCAGCUACCUGGUGACAGGAUGCAAAUCUCCAAAGUCGGUCUCAGUUCGGAUCGGAGUCUGCAACCCGACUCCGUGAAGUUGGAUUCGCUAGUAAUCGCGCAUCAGCCAUGGCGCGGUGAAUACGUUCCCGGGCCUU
rnacentral:rRNA from 1 species